AGAUUGAUGAUGACUCCAACAAAAACAUGCCCUGGAAAAGCUGAACAAAAUAAGUGAAAGCUCACUCCCUUCGUUCUCAUCGUGACUGAGGUCC
ensembl:snoRNA SNORD116 Small nucleolar RNA SNORD116